rnacentral:misc_RNA from 1 species
GUUGGUUUUGGGGUGUGUGUUGGGGGUGGGGUGGGGUGGGGGUGGAGGGGAUUGGUGGUGUGGGUUGGUGGUUGGCACGUCUAUAGCAAAUAGUAGUGUGAAACAUUGUAGCAAUUCUAUAAAUUCAAGUAGCAAUUCUAUAAAUUCAAGUGUCAAAUAUUUGUAGAAAUGGAUGAAAGGAAAAUCUGCUCUUAAAAGAAAAGAUUUUUAACAAGAUGAGAAAAUUAUCUUGCCAAGCAGAAACAUGGUUUAAAUUAAAAAGAUCAUGUAAACCUACCACAUAAGCCUCUUAAUUUUUUGAGUUUUACUAUUGAGCCCUUGUAUUGUAUUUUUUAGACACUUAUGUUCUAUCAUACAAAGGGAUGGGUGAAACGAGAAUAAUGUCAACCUAGAACUUAAGAUGGAUGAAGUAUUGAAAUGCAAUAAGAAUACAGGAGUUCUAUGUGAUUGCAGGACACUUGCUAAGUUGAAAAGGAACUGCAAUUCAAUCAGAUAUGAAGGCAAUAAGUAUUGGUUAUUGAAGAAACAACACAUAAAUAAUAAAUGAACAACACAUAAAUAAUAAAUGAGCACAGUAGAUAUCAAGAUGCUCAGAUGAGGUCCAGAAACACAAGGAUAGACUGGACAACGAAUUAAUACAUUCACAGGAAGAUGGAAGUGGGACCUAUUGAGGAAAAGUUGUAAGAAGGGAGAUUGAGAUCGUUUGGAUAUAUACAUCAUAGACUAACAAAUGCACUAGUACAAAAGACUCAGCACAAUGAACUGCCUAUACACUAAUAUGAAAG